UGCAUUCACAUUAGCAGCACUUUGCUGUACUUGGGGGGAUGGGAUCAGGCAGUGAGAGCCUUGUGAGGGGGAAGUUUUCUUGAGGUGGAAUUGUCAAAGCAAGGUCUCACAGGGUAGAAUAGUGAGGGGGGAGGUAAGGGAGGUCCCCAUAUCUCAGGGAGCUCUGGGCAAGCAGAGAGGGAUUCUGCCCCCAACCCUGACUGAAGCCCCCAAUGGAGGAGGAGCUGAGCUGGGUUUUCUGGGGUCUUGGGGGUCUCUUGCAACUCCCACAGUAACACAGGGGGGUCAUCCCAUAUCACCCAGCAGAGAGGGGCUUCUGCCCUACUGAAAGGGCUAAUCUCCCCCAUGGGGGGAAUCUCCUGUAACGGACACCAGUGAUAUCCCAUAAGAGACCCCAGCCCCACCUCCAUACCCCAUGUUGGGAUUGAACCCCAGAACGGGGUCCUACACCCCACAAUUCCCCCCUGUGAAGUUUGCCAUCCCAUAAUACCCCCAGUCCCAUAUGCUCGGUGCCCCGGGGGUGGGGGGGUUAGCCCUCCUCCCACAACAGGGUUCUGGAAACCAAGGUUCCUGCACCCCAAAUUUCCACCUUAAAAGCUUUGAAGGGGACACUCCAUGAAACCCCCUGCCCUGCCUUUGCGGAGGGGCUGAGUUGCAGGGAGCACCCCCUGGGGGUCACCAGUGGGAUGUGAACCCAGGACCCUAAUCAGCGACAUAGCACUGAGCCCUCUGCAUCUGAACCGGCAUCCUGGCUCCCAGCCCCCCUGCUCUAACCACCAGCUCCCACUCCCCUCCCAGAGCCAGGAGUGAACCCAGGCAUCCGGGCUCCCAGCCCCUGUACCAGCCAGCAGAUGUUGGCCAGGCGGAUUUAUCCAGCAGCUGCCCUGUUCGGGAUGGCGAUAGGUCGCGGGGGUGAGGAUAAUCCCCUGGUGUGGGAGCGACUAUAAACCCCCCACCCAGCCUGGCACGGCUGCCUCCUCCUCCAGCCACAGCUCCGGCUCCGGGGCAGCAGCUGGCACCAUGCAGAACACCCUGGGGCCUGCCUGCAUCUUCCUGCGCAAGGGCAUCGCCGAGAAGCAUGGGCACCUGUCAGCUUGGAAGCCGAUGAAAUCGAAGAGCUACGCGAGCCUCGCAGAGUUCGACAG